CUUCAUGCAAGUAAUUCCAAACAGAGGGAAAUAGCUGCGCUGUGUAUCUCAUUUGGAGAAUGUAAACAGAGUUCAAAUAUGCACAAGUUCAUUCAGUGAUGAGAUGAGGGAACUGCUCUGCCUCACUACUGCUUUCUCUCUGUCCUCUUUUUCACCUUUUUUGAAUGUAUACUGUAGAAUAUCCUGAAAGAAAACUCUCCAUCUACCACUCCCUUGAUAUUGAUAUAAAGGCAGCUUCACCUCCACCCAGAUUCUUCCCUUUCCUCAGUAACCAUGAAAACACAACAUCCAUCUCUUUCUCACUCUGUCUUUGGACUUUAAGCCAGUUUUCAAAGUUUGAUCACAUGGAUAAAAGUGAAAAUAAUGCAUAUGGGAAAAUGUGUGGAGCACUGCAUUCAUGGAUGGACCAAGGUGAUGAGGUUUUGCAGUUCCUCACUGAAGCCACUAGGCACGCAGCAGCAGCUCCAGCCAUGUCACCACUGAAGCUGCUGCUGAAAGCUGGGAAACUGAUGUGAUAAGAAUGGGAUUGCUGACCAGUGGUACUGCAGGUCUUGCAUGGUGCAGCAACUGCUCUGGUCAGGGCAGUGAUUCUCUGUGGUCUUCCUCUUCACAUUCACAUGUGAAAGAUCCCAAACUAAUUUCAGGAAUGCCUACACAUCACCAAGUGUGCUGGAAGGCAACAUCAGUACAAAGCUGAUGCCAUCAAUGCUGUUUUAUUUGAACACUACUACCACUAGAGAAAUGCUCUAACCUGCUAAUUAAGGAAUGGGAACUAAGACAUUUUAGCCAGUUUGUUAACAAGACACCAUAGUAGACUGUAACAUAUAAAAAAAAAAAAAGACUAGUGAUUUGUUGCUUGAAUUAGUUGUACCUGGGGGUCCAUGGCAAUGCUUCUGUGCCACACUGAUCAAUUCUUUCAAAAGACAUGGGGAGUAGACAUAUGCGCAGAGUAAGUAGGAGAGAAAGAAACCAGAGGACCUGUCCUUAGGGUUAUGCUAGAGAUUCUUUUACUUUUCAUGCAUGCAGAAAGCAGCUGAUUCAAUAUGUUUUGCAAAUAGAUAUAAAUGCAUACAGAAGCACUGGGAACAUCUUGUACACAGAUGUGAGUCAGUACUUGGCAGGUGGCUAGUUGAAGUCAGAUUUCCC
rnacentral:lncRNA from 1 species